UCAGGUUUUUGAAAUGAAAAGGCACAGGCCAAAUUCUGAAGUAGGUGGAUUUCAUAGAAAGUAAUAAAAUAAAUGUAGAACGCUGUGGCUCCUCAGCAAUAGCCAGUUGGACUUCUUUAGACAAUACUGUUCAGGCUGCCAUGCACAUCACCAUCUGUCACCCGUCGGCCCUUCUGUAGAGCCACGCACAUUGCCCUCGGGUCUUCUGUGGAGGUAAUUGAUUCUAGUUUUGGCUCAUGCAUGUUUUCCCUGGAAGUUCUGCAUAGUUUUGAAGUUCUGUCUUGUCUAGCUUAAAAACCUGUGGGCCUGUUGCUCUGAAUUUUUGCUCCUAUUCUGCAUUUAGUCUGCUUUUUCUUCCACAGGACAGCCCUUAAAGAUUUUUGAUGCCAGUCUUGUUACUCACAGACCAUUUUCUCUAGUGGCUCUCAUCCCUUUCUCACGUGGGGUCCAGAACCUUCCUCGGCCCAGUUAUUGACUGCUUUUCCACAAGAGACAGGGCCGCACUAUUUUGCCCAGACUUCUCUGGAACUCCUGCGCUCAAGGGAUCCUCCUGUCUUGGCCUCCCAAAGCACUGGAAUUGGAGGGGGUCGGCUGGAGAAAGCCAACUGAGAAAGGUUGAAAGGGAGAGCUCAGUGCUGGUCCCUGGAACCUGAAUUUGGGAGCUCAAGACCAGGAAAGAGAAGCUGAGGCUGUGCUGGCCUGAGGUGACAGAGAGAGAAAAAGAGAGAACACGCUUCCUCCUCCCGGCAGCAAGGGAGCGUCCACCAGCUGAGGAGAGCAAACAGCCCUGUUGUCUGGGAAUCAAAAAAGGACUAACAGGAGAGAGAAAGAUGAGAGCCACCUAGAAUGGGGAUUUUCCUGACAGCACCCUCUGAAAGGCAGGGGAGGAACUGUUGGAAGCUCAACAGUCCAACAAAGAGACGCAGAAAGCAGCAGCCCGGAGGAGGCCUCACUGCAUUCAGGUGACUGCCAGUGUGAGUUCCCAAGGGCGGAAUGCCUAGGGAACCUGCACACGCCACCCAGCCCAGAGGGCAGCAACCCUGGCUCCCAGCAGAACCAGCCUUGGGAAGCUCUGCCCUCUUCCCUAUUUCCUCUUUUUCUGGGUCCUGUCCCAGGGAGGGAGAUAGUGAGGGUGAAGAGGUGAGAGGAAGAGCGGGGACAACCUUGCCUCCCCCUUCUCCUACAGCUGGCAUUUAAGUUUGAAGCAGACCUGGGUGGAAGAAGGGAGAAAUUUUCAAAUGAGAUUUGUUCUGAGUUCUGGCAAACAUGCUGGAAUAUGUGCUUUUAAAUGACAGAGACUGCUCUUUCGAAAUAAGGGACCCAGAGAAUAAGUUCACAGGGUGAGCAAAAAUAAAGCAGCGUUGUGAUCGCCCCUUAGUGAAUCCAGCUCA